GUUCUCUCUUAUCUUUCAUCUCAAAAUGUUGGCGGAAUAUUUAUCUCCGUAUGUGGAUAAGUAAUUGUGAUGAAAAAUCAGCUGGGAAUUUUGGGAUUUGAGGAUUUUACUAAAUUAAUUUGAUGCAAUUUAUUGAUUUUCUUGAAGCCCUAGGUUUAAUUAGAGUUCUAUUAUGUUUUAUGUUUGUGAAUUAAUGAAAAAGGUUUCGUGAUUUAAAGGAGAGGAAGAGGAGACGUUGAAGAUAUGGGUUAUAAAGACUAUUGCUGAGAUAAUGAAGCUCAGAAAUGUGCACUCAAGGUGCUUGUAAAAUUGUCUGAACCAAAUCUCCAGCUGUUCUACUAGAAUUUUUUGAAGUAAAAUGCCCCCAAAUCGUGCUAGGACCACCUCCUCACCAUGAUCCUACUUUUUUCUUGCCAUUGACAAUUAUUUCCAGUGGAAUGGUUUGGAUUUAAAUAUACAUGCACACAAAUCACAAAUAUACAUGAACAUAUGUAGAAGUACAAGUAAUCAUUAGCUCCUCUUUCCCUUCUUCCAUUUGACUGAGUUGUUAAAUUUUAAUUAAUUGAGUUCAAAUUAUUGUUCAUAUUUAUUGGCAUAUACUUUGUAGAUACUAAUGUCUAUAGCACUUGUCUGUAUACUUUGUUGAUCCAAUCUCUGAAUUUUCCAUAGCUGAUAGCCGUAAGUACCUAUUCUAUAACUACUUCUCUCUCUCUCUCUCUCUCAAUUUCUGUCUCUCUCUAUAGUCUAUAAAUUAUAUAUUUAUAUGUCAGAAACCAAUUGAAGGAUUAUUGGGUGAAUUUGUAGAUGAAGCGUGCAAAGAGAUACUGAUUGUUCCCCUAUUUAUCCCUACUUAUUUAUUAUCAGGUUGAUACUUCCUUUUUUCUAUGAAAAACAAUUUAAUAUAAGGUUACGAUAAAACCAAUUCCUUGUUUAUUAUCAUGGUGGGUUGACUAACUUGUUUAUAAUCAUGUGUAUGCUUGCUGAAGCAGAAGUUUAUUAUCAUGUCUAUCUAGAUUGUCACCAGGUGGUGCUUGAAAGUUUAUUAAUCUCUGUAGAGGCAGCUAUUGUGAUGUUAAAGCUAGCAUGCUGGGUAAGUUCACCUUUUACACUGUUCACAUUAGGAUGUUCAAAUUAACCAUAUUAAUUUAUUGUGCUUUUCCAAAUUUUCCCUUUCCUAUAUAAUGAGUAAUAUUAUAUAGUAAUUGCUUUAUUCAUAAACAUGAAUUUCAAUAGAGUGAGUACCUACAGUUUAAAUUUCACUCGUUGUCAUUAAAAAAAGGGUCAAGUCUCAAUUAAGUAAACCUUUUUGCAUCUCUCUCUCGCACAAAAAUGCGUAGUGGGUUCUCACAAUGUGUAAUCACAAUUUGAUAACCUACAUUACUAUGUUUAAUUAAUGGGACAUGGCCACACCUUUAACAAGAAAGUAGUGCAUAUUGGAACCUUGUUGAAUUGAUGAUUCUGUUUUACUGGUUACCAUGUGAUAAAAGGAUUUGAUUUUCAAGUACUUAUUUUCUUUUAUUUAUGUCUUUAUUUUUCCGGAGCAACAAAAUUAAUGAUUUCAGUUUACAACAAAGGUUAGAGUUUUCUUCUUUUUCAUUGCUAUUUGGUGGGAAAUUACGAUUUACAUGUUUGGUUUUUUAAGAAAGUGAGAAUGAAAUAUAAAAUAACUUAAGAUGUGCUUGGUAAGAUAUAUAUAUAUUUUUUAUAUUUUAUCUCCACUAUCAUGUUUAAUCCACAUGGUAGUCCUUGGCAAUGCAUUCUAUGCUUAAAAAGUUAAAUAUUUUUUCCGUUGCAAAUUGUGUGUUGUGCCUACCCUAUGAACUUGUGUGUUUAGCUUGUUGUAAUGUAAUGCAUUCACAAGUUGUAUCCCGUUACUUGGAUUUUCUUUCUUCUCUUUUCUCUGUUUUUGUUUCCUCUUUUUGUCUUUUGUGGUUUGAUUGUUGUUGCAGGUGGAGGAAAGAUCAUCAAACCCUGCCAAAUGGGUACCAAGAAUUCUUCUUCCAAAAGAAAAACCUUCAAGAUCCCCUCUGAGAUUUUUGGAUGGGUUCAUGCUACAAGACUUUAAACUCUUUUUGUUUAAGAUGGUUUAAGUAGUGCAUGUCCAGGUCUUUGAACCCUUUGUUUAGGAAUCUAUUGCUUAUUUUUGUCUAAGAUCUUGAAACAUUUUAUUUAAGAUACUAACUUGUUUUGGUCCAAAUUAUUGGAGUUUGAAAUUAUUUUAGAUGCGAAGACUCAAUUUUUUACUUGAUGGGCUUUAUUAUGUAUGUUGUAAACAAUACAUUUUUUGGUUGGUGUAACUUACGCAAUAUCAAGUAUUUAUUUGUUUGCAUAA